rnacentral:rRNA from 1 species
CCUACGGGAGACAGCAGUGAGGAAUAUUGGUCAAUGGGCGUAAGCCUGAACCAGCCAAGUCGCGUGAGGGAUGAAGGUUCUAUGGAUUGUAAACCUCUUUUAUAAGGGAAUAAAGUGCGGGACGUGUACCGGUUUGUAUGUAACUUAUGAAUAAGGAUCGGCUAACUCCGUGCCAGCAGCCGCGGUAAUACGGAGGAUCCGAGCGUUAUCCGGAUUUAUUUGGUUUAAAGGGUGCGUAGGCGGCCUUUUAAGUCAGCGGUGAACGUCUGUGGCGCCACCCUAGAAUGGCCGUUGAAACUGGGAGCCUUGAGUAUGUUUGAGGCAGGCGGACUGCGUGGUGUAGCGG